rnacentral:rRNA from 1 species
GAAAUUGGGCCAUGUUUGGCGAACGUCCCCCUGUUGCGGGGGGCGUGGCGUACGGCUCAGUAACACGUAGUCAACCUGCCCUGGAGACAAGGACAACCCCGGGAAACUGGGAUUAAUCCUCGAUAUGUCAUUUCAUCUGGAAGGAGAGAUGGCUGAAAGGGGUGCGCGGGCUUCUUCCGUGUAUCUGCUCCAGGAUGGGACUGCGACCGAUCAGGCUGUUGGCGGGGCAAUGGCCCACCAAACCAGUAACCGGUACGGGCCUUGAGAGAGGGGGCCCGGAGAUGGACACUGAGAAAAGGGUCCAGGUCCUACGGUGCGCAGCAGGCGCGAAACCUUCGCAAUGUGCGAAAGCAUGACGAGGUUAAUCCGAGUGGCUCCCGCUGAGGGGGUCUUUUGCCGGUUCUAAAAAGGCCGGAGAAUAAGGGGAGGGCAAGCCUGGUGUCAGCCGCCGCGGUAAUACCAGCUCCUCGAGUGGUCGGGGCGAUUAUUGGGCCUAAAGCAUCCGUAGCCUGUUCCGCAGGUCUUCAGUAAAAUCCAACCGCUUAACGGUUGGCUCGCGGGAGAUACCACGGGACUAGGAGGCGGGAGAGGCGGACGGUACUCCACGUGUAGGGGUAAAAUCCUUUGAUCCGUGGAAGACCACCAGUGGCGAAGGCGGUCCGCCAGAACGCGCUCGACGGUGAGGGAUGAAAGCUGGGGGAGCGAAACGGAUUAGAUACCCGGGUAGCCCCACCCGUAAAACCAUGCGAGCUAGAUGAUCCAUUCGCAAAUCGCGACCGGAUUGUCCCAGGGAAGCCGUUAAGCUCCCCCCCCUGUGGAGUACGGUCGCAAGACUGAAACCUAAAGAGAUUGGCCGGGGGAGCA